rnacentral:rRNA from 1 species
UACGGAAGGUCCAGGCGUUAUCCGGAUUUAUUGGGUUUAAAGGGAGUGUAGGCGGUUUGUUAAGCGUGUUGUGAAAUUUAGAUGCUCAACAUUUAACUUGCAGCGCGAACUGUCAGACUUGAGUACACGCAACGUAUGCGGAAUUCAUGGUGUAGCGGUGAAAUGCUUAGAUAUCAUGAAGAACUCCGAUUGCGAAGGCAGCAUACGGGAGUGUAACUGACGCUUAAGCUCGAAGGUGCGGGUAUCGAACAGG